UACGUAGGGGGCAAGCGUUGUCCGGAUUCAUUGGGCGUAAAGAGCCCGUAGGCGGCUUGGCAAGUCGGGUGUGAAACCUCCAGGCUCAACCUGGAGACGCCACCCGAUACUGCCAUGGCUAGAGUCCGGUAGGGGACCACGGAAUUCCUGGUGUAGCGGUGAAAUGCGCAGAUAUCAGGAGAACACCCGUGGCGAAGGCGGC
rnacentral:rRNA from 1 species